rnacentral:rRNA from 1 species
AUGUAUGUCGUUGCAGAUCUCUUCAUAGAUGUCAGGGUGAGGACCCUGUCGCACCAGGUCACCACACUUGGGGAUAGUGUGUGGGAACUGGAGCGCAAAAUUACCCAGCUGAUCUGCGAGAAGGGCAAGCUGGAGAAGCAACUGGAGGAGACGAAGGCGAUCUCAAGCCACAAGGAAGAGGUGGAGAGAAGCUUCAAGGCUGAAAACGAUAAGCUUCGGUCGGAAGUUUCGAUCGCAGAGGAAAAAUGUGGCAAGUCUGAAGCGGAGGUUGAGAGGCUAAGCAAGGAAUUAGGCGCGCUGGCAGAGGCAAAAGAGGGUGCUACCAAGGAAUUCAACGACAAGAGAGCAAAAAUCUGGCUGAAAUCGGAGAAUCUCAAGAGACGGUUGGAGGAAAUUCAGGCUAUCAAGGAUUUGGCAGAGAGCGAAAAUGACAAGCUUCGUUCAGAGGCUUUGAUCGCAAAGGAAAAGCAAAACAUGUCCGGAGCAGAGAUUGAGAUGCUUAAGAUAGAACUGGGUGGAUUGGCGGAGGCCAAGGAGGCCGCCGCCAAGGCAUUUGAUGUAAAAAAUGCAGAACUCACCGAGGAAUUAGAGGAACUUGAGAGGAAGCUAAAGGAAAUCCAAACAAAUAAGGAUUUAGUGGAUGGAGAAAAUGAUAAGCUUCGGUCUGAGGUUUUCACAGUGGAGGAGAAAUGUGGGUAG